rnacentral:rRNA from 1 species
AAUGUCUUCAUUUUGUUGGACGCAAGUCUAAUAAAAAACCUAUUACAACUUUCAGCAACGGAUCUCUUGGCUCUCCCAUCGAUGAAGAACGCAGCGAAAUGCGAUAAGUAAUGUGAAUUGCAGAAUUCAGUGAAUCAUCGAAUCUUUGAACGCACCUUGCGCCCUUUGGUAUUCCGAAGGGCAUGCCUGUUUGAGUGUCAUUAAAUUCUCAACCUUAGUGAGCUUUGUUCAUCUAAGGCUUGGAUGUGAGGGUCUUUUGCUGGCUUCCUUCAGUGGCGGUCUGCUCCCUUUAAACGCAUUAGUGGGUCCUUUUUGUGGAUCGGUUUCACUUGGUGUGAUAAUAUAUCUACGCUUUGUGUUGCUAGUUGAAGCAAAAGAC